AGCAUAUCAAUAAGCGGAGGAAUAGAAACCAACAGGGAUUGCCUUAGUAGCGGCGAGUGAAGCGGCAAAAGCUCAAAUUUGAAAUCUGGCGGCCUCGUCGUCCGAGUUGUAAUUUGAAGAAGGUAUCUUUGGGUCUGGCGCUUGUCUAUGUUCCUUGGAACAGGACGUCACAGAGGGUGAGAAUCCCGUGCGAUGAGCAGUCCAGAUCCGUGUAAAGUUCCUUCGAAGAGUCGAGUUGUUUGGGAAUGCAGCUCUAAGUGGGUGGUAAAUUCCAUCUAAAGCUAAAUAUUGGCGAGAGACCGAUAGCGAACAAGUACAGUGAUGGAAAGAUGAAAAGAACUUUGAAAAGAGAGUGAAAAAGUACGUGAAAUUGUUGAAAGGGAAGGGCUUGCGAUCAGACUUGGUAUUUUGUAUGUCUUGCUUUCGGGCGGGGCCUCUGCAGUUUACUGGGCCAGCAUCGGUUCGGGUGGCAGGACAAUUGCGGAGAAAUGUGGCAC
rnacentral:rRNA from 1 species